rnacentral:lncRNA from 1 species
CUGGAGAUGGGAUGGGCUCUGUACUAUAAAUUGUAUCUCGAUUCAUCGAUAAUAUAAAUACUUGAUAAAAAUCUAGAAACAAAACACAAAAAUACAGUGAAAUUUGAUUAAAUGAGUAUUUAUAAGAAAAUUUUUAUUUUCAGGGUUGAAAUUGAAUUUGAUUUUACCAGCCACCCGUUUGAAGAACUGUUUCAAUCCUCAUCAUCACAUUUCUGAUGCACUUCAUCUUUCUAAAUUAUGCAAUUGUACGAAUAGUUUGGAAAUUAAAUGUAACUACAAAUUAUCUAAAAUCUUAGAUACUAAAAUAAUAUUCAAACAAGUAAUCGAAUAAACUUAAAUCAUCUAAUUUAAUAUUCGCCACAACCCAUGUAUUAUAAAAUAAAUAAUUGCAAUUCUACUCUUUACUGAAUAGAAACUGAAAAAAAUAUGCAAAAUAAAUAAAUUUUAAUAAUAUAAAAAAACAUUUAAAAAGACCAUCUGGAUAUCAUAAUGAAUGUACUAAAUAUAAACACUAUAUGGUCAAAAAUGAACAAAAAUAUAUAAUUAUGACUCAAGAGUGUCUAAUUCAGAAAUGCUAGGAAAUUUACAACAAAAUAUUAAAACAUCAAUAUUCCAUUGCAGAAAAGAUUAGAGGGCACUGAUCAACUUAGUACUUAUAUUUUUAUGAAAUGUUUGCAAAUAAAUUGUUGAUAGAUGU